UCAGUUCAAGUAGCUGUAGCUUCCUCCGCAAUCCCCUGUUUUCUUUCUGGCUUUGAGUUAUUUCCAAACGAAACACUGCAUAGUCGUCGUCUACGACUUUACAGAUCUCUGCCACGGCUGCAUUCGCUAGAACCUCCAUGAUGGAGGCUAUUUGAGUGUGAAAAACCAUACUGUUCACGUUAGCCAUUUCUAGCUAGUUAGCAGCCAGCUAGCUAGCUAUCAACCAAGUCCUGUCUCCAACGUGAUUUAAACACUACCUUAGCAGUAGAUCAGGCUUCCCAUCCUCCAUGUAUACUGACUGUAAGAGUACAGAGUGAGAGGAUGUUGGAUCAAGAAAUCUGAUAUGAGAACCCUGCUAUGGAGCAUCUUCUGAUUGGGCAAUGAGGGAUUGCUGUGAGUACAAUGCAAACAUGUUAGUUGAUUUGAUUACUUGACACUCUUUAAUGGUUUGAUCAUUCAAAAGGCAUGGUCACACACUUAAGACAACGAAUCAAGACAUGGGCCCAUAUCCACAAAGAGUCUCAGAGAAGGAGUACUGAUCUAGGAUCAGUUUUGCCUUUUAGAUCAUAAUGAAUAAAAUGAUAUCUUAGAUCACCAGUCCUACUCUGAGAGACUUUGUGGAUACGGACCCUGACAUAAUACCAUUCAGACAGUAGUUCACAGUGGGCUCACCUCAGUGAGAAUGUGUGUGGUCCUGUGCUGCUCAGCUGGUUCCUCUGUGGGUUCAGGAGGUGUAGUCUGGUUGUCCUUCAUGACUAUGGUCCCCUCAGGGUUCCCCAGACCCUCCUCACACCCCUCCUCUAUUAGCUGCACCUCUGGACCCUCCUCCUGGAAGAGACAGGUGAUACAGAUUACACAGACACACUCCCUCAGGUACGUACACACAGAUAAUAAACACACUUUCAACAUGGUGUUUACCCAUCCCCACUAUGUUUGAGUCCUAUACGAUUUCACAGAGUCAAAUUCCUUUGCAUGCAAAUGUAACUGCAAAAUUAUUGGCACCCUUGAUAAAGAUCAGGGAAAUACUAUACUGAACAAAAAAAUGUAUGUUCAUCUUUAUCAAGUGUGUCCAUAAUUUAGGACCCCAUUGAAUAUGCCUUAUAUACAGUAUAUAUAAUUAAGUAGUUGAAUGGAAAUAAUGAAACAUUAUAUAUCCUACACAGUGGAAACACUAUGUAACCGACUUUUUAGGCUUAGUAUAUCACACAAUGUCUGGAUGCAAUAUUCUACCAAGGAAUAUUCAACACUGAAAGCUGUUACUCUCAUUAUUCCAAAUGUAUCUGGAUUUUUUCUGCUGACAAUGAACAUUCAUCAUAGUCUUUGAUGCUGGGUUUGAUCUAAACGUUAGAAGCUAUCGAGUGGAAUGGUUACUUUCUAUAGCUCGGUAUCCAUUCAAUUGACAACAGAUUUGAAAGAAAAUGUGCGCAUUUUCCCACCAGUGGUGUUUCCACCAAACUGACUUGAUGCAGAUAAAAAAAAUAAAAAAAUCAGUGUGUGAUGACGUAGCGCACACGAAAUGUACUUUUUCGCUUACGUUUUCAUGUACAGAAUAAGAAUAUUACGUUCAAUGUGUUUCCAUCGCAUUUUAAACUCUACUGAUAGUUUUGUCACACAAACUGUUGCGUUUAAUAAUAGCAAAUGUGCCCACUCUGGUCUUGGCACGUGCACUCUAGCCAACAGCUCGCAAAUACAGUGCGGGUAGGCUAGUCUACAUAAUGAUAUUAUUAUGGAAAAGAGCAAGAAUAUUUAUUUGUCAAAUGGAAGUCAAGCAUUGAUAUUUCUUUGAAAAUGAGCAUCAAGAUCACCGUGCACUUUCACCACCCUCUGUAGCCUAAUAAACUACAUGGCUUUCCCGAGUCGUAGUGGGAGGAUCACACACCAUGCCAUCGCGUGAUUCCCAAGUUUACUUCGAUAUGAUGUCUUUUAUAUCAACAGUUGCGCAUUAAGGCGUUUCCACCGCCCUUUCUCUCAUAAUUAAUUUUACAGAUGCAAAAAGAUCCCUUGUCGAACAAACAAAUUCUGUAGGCAUUUAGAAAAUUGUACCGAAACUUCCUGUUUCCAUCACAGCUGCCAUGAUUUUUUGUUUUUUCUCUCGGUAUGACUUUACUUGCAUAAAAUCUGUGAAUGGAAACAUGGUUCAUGUUCUAGAGUGGAAUGGUUUUUCUGCUGGUGUAUGCUGAGGUAGCUCCUCUCUGAGAACCUCUUCCCACAGUGCGUACAGGCGAACGGCCUUUCUCCUGUGUGGACCUAGAGGUAUAUUUUCAGAUGGUGCUGGUGGGAGAACCUCUUCUCACACUAGGGGCAGCUGUAGGAUUUCUCCCCUGUGUAGACCACCUGGUGCCUCUUCUUGUGUCCAGCUUGGGUAAAGCGCAUAUGACACUGGGUACAGCUGAAGGAUUUCAUCCCUGUUUGGAUCCUAUACACUACUACUGUACUGGUUCCAGUCCUCUCUAGACAGAUCAGUCUGUGUCUCUAAACCCAAGGAUAUGUUGCCAGGGUCCCAAUGAGAUUGAAUCGUCCUCAUGCUCAGGUUACUCUGAGUCGGGAGCAGGAGGACAGUCCAAUGGCCCCAGCUCCAGUCUCUCUGGGUCUGAUCUGUGGUCAGAUCCUGUGUGUAAGAGCCUUUGUGUUAAAGUCUCUGUGUCUGUCUCUGACUUGAAGACAGUGUUCUGCAUUCUACUGACCUCCAUGAUGUUGCGGCAGGUCCUGGGUUGGGGCGUGGCAGUGCGGUUCUCCGUGGCUACAGGGGGCGUCCCAAUCUCGAUGUGUCUUCUGUGUAGUGGGUCCUCUCCUUCAGACCUCUCCUGCUUGACCUUAGGACCUCUAGCCUCUGCAUCUGCAGACUGACACAGACUGAUAUUAAUUAAUGGGCCACAUUUUAUGUACUGUCAUUUUUCAUGUUACACUUUUACACUAACCUCUAUCACAAUAACAUGCUGGGUUGAGGUUCCACUCCCCUCAUCAACAGUGAUUGGUUGGUCAUCUCUCCACGCGUUGUGUCCCGCUGGCUUCACAAAGCUCCUGUGGCCUCCAGUAAGAUGUCCUGAGAGAGAGAUUGGGGGAAAAGAGGUGGUGAGGUACUGUCAAUGCUCAACGGUAUAUUGUACACUAUUGACACUGCCUGCAACUGGGUAAAGUUGAUGAUGCAGUUGACCUUAAAGGGCCCCAGGACCAAAGAUCCACCACUAUAUUUUACAGUAAGGUAUGAGGUUAUUUUCUGCUCAUGCAUUCUCAUUUCGAAGACAAACACAUCACUGGUGUGCGUGGCCAUAGAGCUCUAUUUCAUGUUAUCCAACAAAUGAUUCUGAUUAAUAAGGCUGUAAUACACAAUGAAUUGGUAUAUACAGCCUGAAACUAAUGCCUCCAAAUGUAAAAUUGUGUAAAUGUACAUACUAUACAUUUAAACUUACUCUGGCAGCUGUGAAUUUUGAGACAAAAUACAGACAGGAAAGUAUUGUUUACCCAACUUUUCAGAGAGCUGGUGGUUCAGUUUGGCACCGAGGUGUUACGUUCCCUAGUUUCUGUGUUGUAGUUUGUGUAUUUGUGAGUGUGUUUCAGGUUAUGGCUUCCUGAAAUUCUCCAAGCAGCUGAUUGGUCGGCCCCAUUACUGAUUGGAGAGCUGACCCCGCCUCCUCGUCAGGAUGCAGCUGUCUCCAAUUAACAACUCCUUCUCCAGCUAUAUGUGUGUGUGUGUGUGUGUGUGUGUGUGUGUGUGUCUUUUUUCAGAAAGAGAUUUUGUAUGUACUCUGUUAGUUGUUACUGAGGUAGCUGAUUGGAUAAGUCUGUGUCAAUAGGACGCAGUGUUUGGAUUAUUGGAAUUGUUACUUACAUUUGUGUUUCUGUUUAAUUUAUUCCCAGGGGGAAGGCACCUAGGGAGUGCCUUCCUCUGCACCAAUUUGUAAGUCGCUCUGGAUAAGAGCGUCUGCUAAAUGACGUAAAUGUAGGACAGGGGGCUUUGAUAUUUACUUUCUUUGCUUUGGUUCCGUCCAGCCCCUUUUUCCCCAAACUUACCGUGCGAAAGAAUAAAUUCCCUGUAAACGGUA